UGAUACUGCGGGGAGCGAGGGUGCUGUGAUACUGCAGGGAGCCGUAGUACUCACUAGUCAGAGAGGGUGUUGUGAUACUGCGGGGAGCCGUAGUACUCACUAGUCAGUGAGAAGGUGUUGUGAUACUGCGGGGAGCCGUAGUACUCACUAGUCAGAGAGGGUGUUGUGAUACUAUGGGGAGUUGUAGUACUCACUAGUCAGUGAGAAUGUGUUGUGAUACUGCGGGGAGCCGUAGUACUCACUAGUCAGUGAGAGGGUGUCGUGGUACCGCAAGGAACCACGUUAUUUGUUAGUUAGCGCAUGACUCAGAAGAGUUCUUAGGCUUGAGUAGCCUUACUGCAUUGAGUAGGCUUGAGUAGCCUUGUUGCAUUGAGUAUCCAAGAGCCUGGUGGCCAGAUCAGGAAAGAGAAGGAGGUCUCCAUAAUGGUCGGGAAUCAUUAUAUCCUGAGUUAGGCCAUGGAGACCGUAAUGGG
rnacentral:lncRNA from 1 species